rnacentral:lncRNA from 1 species
CUGGACACAUUACAUCAUAGUGAAGGACUACGGACUGGGGACAUGACAUUAUAGUGGAGGCCAACAGACUGGAGACCAGCAGACUGGAGACAUGACAACAUAGUGGAGGCCUACAGACUGGAGACAUGACAACAUAGUGGAGGCCUACAGACUGGAGUCAUGACAACAUAGUGGAGGCCUACAGACUGUAGUCAUGACAACAUAGUGGAGGCCUACAGACUGGAGUCAUGACAACAUAGUGGAGGCCUACAGACUGGAGUCAUGACAUCAUAGUGGAGGCCUACAGACUGGAGACAUGACAACAUAGUGGAGGCCUACAGACUGGGGACAUGACAACAUAGU